AAAGCGACCUCAGCUCAGGCGGGGCUACCCGCUGAGUUUAAGCAUAUCAAUAA
rnacentral:rRNA from 1 species